AGCGAACGCUGGCGGCAGGCCUAACACAUGCAAGUCGAACGAAGUCUUCGGACUUAGUGGCGGACGUGUGAGUAACACGUGGGAACGUACCUUUUGGUUCGGAACAACUCAGGGAAACUUGAGCUAAUACCGGAUGAGCCCUUAGGGGGAAAGAAUUAUCGCCGAAAGAGCGGCCCGCGUUAGAUUAGCUAGUUGGUGAGGUAAAGGCUCACCAAGGCUACGAUCUAUAGCUGGUCUGAGAGGAUGAUCAGCCACACUGGGACUGAGACACGGCCCAGACUCCUACGGGAGGCAGCAGUGGGGAAUCUUGCGCAAUGGGCGAAAGCCUGACGCAGCCAUGCCGCGUGAAUGAUGAAGGUCUUAGGAUUGUAAAAUUCUUUUACCAGGGACGAUAAUGACGGUACCUGGAGAAAAAGCCCCGGCUAACUUCGUGCCAGCCGCCGCCGUAAGAC
rnacentral:rRNA from 1 species